GCGGGUGUAACUCAAUGGUAGAGUGCCAGCCUUCCAAGCUGGUAACGUGGGUUCGAUUCCCAUCACCCGCU
rfam:Caloramator quimbayensis strain TSBA 833 genome assembly, contig: Ga0105845_110